ACUUAUACCUCCAAUUUUUCAUUGACCCUUUUAUUCCCACCCCCAAAUCCCUCUUUAUUUUUUUCCUGUCCUCCCUCUUUAGCCUGAUACCAGUUGCUAGUUGUUGGAACUCUCGAGAGAACGAGACCAGGAGGAGACUUCUUAUGAAGGUAAACUAUCCGUCGACUUACAGCCCUAAUCACUUGGGUUUCGAGUUUAGUCAAAUCGAAGGUUAAUCAUGAUGAGAAGCGGUUGAUGAAGACGCAAUCAAAUACUAUAAGGAACGUAAAUUUUCUUUUCUCUAUUUAUUAUCUCUCACUUAUUUUCAUGUAAAUUUCAUCGUUAUCUGCAAGAUUUGUGAAAUUAUCUAACAUUUUUUUAUGUCUAUCUAUGAGAAUAGCAUUGUUAUUUAUUUUACCAAGAUGUGGCAACUCUAUAACUAUUUGCAAAAAUGGCUAAAUUGGGUAAGUUUUUCAAAUGGCCACAACCAUAUUUGAUUUAUUUCAUAAUCAAAAUAGUGAAAACCAAAGUUCUGCAGUUAUUGAUGAAGAAAGCACGAACCAAAUUAGUUUAAUGUUUAAUGAAAUACUUUGGUGAUGAUGUUAUAUUUUUUUGAUUUUGUUGCAGCUUGUUUUUGGGAAUUUAAAGUGCCUAAGAUCUUUCCUCCUUGUAUUCUUCUCACUUGUCUUCACGGUGAAUAGUUCAUAUGAAUCUUCAACAUUUGUAAUUAUUUCAUCACUUACUACUAGGGAUUAGCAUUUGGUACCGGUAUUUACAGGUAAAACACCGGUAAGUACCGGUACCGUACUGGUACUGGUACCGGUACCGAACCUGUAUAUUCGUACCAUUACCACUUUUUCCCAUUUUUCGGUACCGGUACUCGUUCGGUACCGAACGGGCACCCUGCUCAUCCCUACUUACUACAACCCUUGAGUUGAGUACUGGAUUAUUCAAGAAAAGUGGUACUGGUAGGGCUGUAAGUGGAGCCUAGUUAUCACAUUGCUAGGGUUUAGGUUUAGUAAUGUACAAUAAUCUAACAUUUCAGAAAAGAUAUAAUCUCAGAUAGGCUCCACAUUGCUAGGGUUUAGGUUCCAUGGUUGACUUAAUCAAAUGAGGAGCAAUGCGUUUGUUAAAGGCCUGAAUUUUAAUAUGUUUCAUGUCGUCACAUUAUUCGAUUAACAAGAUAUUUUAGUAUGCAGAUCUAUGAGGUGGUUACAAUCGCUUGAUUACUAUUUGUUUAAAAAGUGAUAACUUUGGUAUUGAUGUGUUAUUAACAGUGAUGUGUUAAUUUAUCAGUACCAGUGAGGAAUAAACGACGGAGUAGGCCGGAACGAGAGAAAAUAGAGAAACAUGAUAUGAUGAAGAAAAUUGAAGAAACUUGAGGUUACAUCCUUAAAUGAAUAAGAGAUUUCAAUUGUAAAUAAUAUAUGCCAAGUUUCUACCAAGUUUGGAUAUGGGUUUAUGUUAGUAAACACAUUAUUUUGAAUAUUGAAUGUAUUCCUUUUGGUUAAUUUGUAUCUUUAUUCUGUUAUUGUUUACUUAGUUGGAUAUUUCCUUUUUCUAUUUAGUUUGGAUGUUUAUCUUUUGUGUGAAUUGUGUGUGUAUAUAUAUAUAGUUUCUAAUAUAAUGUUUACAAUAAAAAAUUGGGUAAAAUUCGUACCAAAUUGUGUAGCAAAAAUCUCAAAAUCUGUAACGAAAAUCUUUCAAAAUUUGUAGCUAGAUUCCGAAUAAAAAUCAUAGCAAUGUAGCAUAACCGGUAGCAAAAACCAUCGCAAAUUUGUAGCUAAAUUCUGUAGCAACAUUGGUAGCAAGUUUUUGUAGCUAACAUUCGUAGCGAAAAUAAUGCAAAAGGUAGCAAAUUUUCAUAGCCAAACCAUAGUAAGUUCGUAGUUAAAUCAUGUAGCAAAAUGGUUGCAAAAAUGGUAGCAAAAACGUAACAAAUUUCCGUAGCCAACACUCGUAGCAAAAACUAGUUCGUAGCUAAACAUUAGUAGCAAAAUUUCAUAGCUAAAAAUAUCGGUAGCUAAAAAUCCAAAGUGAAAUUCCAUAGCAAAUCCGUGGCUAAAAUAGCGACGCCCUUUUUUCUAGCUAAAGUCGUCGCAAAUAUAAUUUUCGUAGCAAAUAAAUUUGCGACAAGACUUGUAGCUACGGACCAAAUCCGUAGCAGACACCUAGUUUGCAACGGAUUUGCUACGGAUUUGGCCGUAGCAAAUACCUAUUUAUGUAGUAGUGAACGUUCAUUUGAAAAUUUUGAAAAGAACGU
rnacentral:lncRNA from 1 species